AUUUUACCUUUUUUUUUUUAAUACAGAUUUCAAGCUAUUCGUUCUUGCUACACCGAAAUCGUUGGAUUGUCCCUUGUAUAAUAGUGAAGGAAGGCGGAAUUAAAGAGGGCAUAUGGAGCUCACAAUACAAGACAUAGAACUUGCAGUAAACAAUGAAAACUCGAGAGUCAACCGCUUCCGGGUAAGAAUCUUAUCACAUAAUAUUGCUGAUUUAAUGCAUAUAAAAUAAUGAUGGUUCAUAUAUCAUGAAUUCUAGUUUAAAGACUAAUUAAGAUUCUCUAUGUGCUCCAAUCAAUAAGCAAGCUUCAUACUACAAGUGUUACUCCUUUUUUUUUACUCAC